rnacentral:lncRNA from 1 species
GUUGCAGUUAAGUAAAAAUCAGGUUGUGCUCCUGCAUGGUCAUCAUUUGUGCCCACAGUGGAGAGAACAUGAGGCUCGCCAAAAGUUGUUUUCCCAUUUCGCUUUUGAUUGCGCAAAAUCAUUCCCUGUGCGCCUGAAGAAAGAGCUUCAUUACCCUCAGCAACUGAUUUUAUCUUUCCACCUCGAAUACAACGCACUAUUUUUCCCUUUACUUUUUCAGGAUCAAGUGUUCCACGCUUACACAGUUCACUGCACAGUAUAUACAUACAUGUCAACAACAAGAACAAUGUAAGAAAACAUUAAUAUUCUGAUAAAAAAGGUUGUUUGAAGCAAAUUAAGCUUGUGAGACUUUGCACUUACGCGUCUCGAAAUGUUGCAUUGGGAAGCUUAGCAUCAGUGGAAAGGAUCAAAGAAAAGUCCUGGUUCGGUGGCAAGUUUACAAAAAGACUCGCUCCCUGCAAAUAUUUAAUACAAACUUAUAACAAGUAUAUAUGCGACACUAAUCUAUCGUUAUGAUGCCAGAAAUUAGAAAAAAAGAGUGAAAAUGAAAGCAGAAAACGAUUACGUCAUAAUCUUUUAUAUAUAUGAAUAGGUUAGAAUAACAUGUAGACAUUUUAAUUAGAGAUCGAGGAUGUUACCUCGAUUACUUCAUUGUCGUUAAUGAUUAAAUUACUGCUGAAAUAUCUGUCUAUGGUGCUAGCAGCAAUGGUGAACACCCAAGGGGCCACAUUCACCACAGAACCAGGAGUUGGUCCAUCGUUCCCUGCAGAAGCAACUAAAAGUAUGUUUCUUGAAAUAGCAUGAAAGGCUCCAAUCGAGACUUCGUCAGUGAAUAUUCCUUCGGGACUGGCGACGUAACUACCACCAGCUGAAAGAUUGAUGACGUCGACGCCGUCGUCGAUGGCUUGGUCGAUAGCAGCCAAUACGUCGGCGCCGUAACAACCGGCUGGGUCUGUCAGAGACCAACACACUUUGUACGCCGCAACUCGUGCUCUCGGGGACCCACCCUUUGCGGUGCCAUUACCCACCGCAAAUACGCUUGCGCCUCCCACGAAAUUGCCUCCAGCGGUUGAUAGAGUGUGGGUACCAUGCCCCAUGAAGUCACGCGCUGUUUGCAUUGAGGGAACAAGUUCGCCAUUGUAGACCUCAAAAGCUUUAUUGAAGAAUCUUGCUCCUAUCAGCUUUCUGUUCAUAUCAUUAACAUGGCUUUAAAUAUGAUAUCUAUGUAUAAAUUGAAUAAUGCAGGAAACUAGGGACAAAAUAAAAAUAGAAAGAAAGGGUAAAAAGAGAAGAGGAACCUGUUGCAUGGAUUUGUCUUGGAUCGUGGAAGUUUGUUAAUUUGACAAACAUUACCACCACGCCAUUUGGAGGGAACAGGACCAUAUCCUUCAUCACCGAAGCUCUCUGACUCUGGCCAAACACCUAUCCAACGCCAAUUUCUGGUUUAAAGAAUGAACAUAAAUUAUCAUGCACAUAACAAACAAUUUAGUUUACCUGUGUCGAUGUUUGCAAUUAUUGUAUUUUCACCAAAGCUUCCCUCUUGCCAUGCAGAGUUCUUACCAUUUAUGUGUAGUCCAAGAAACUCCCAUGAGCGGGUAGUGUGCAGUUUAUGUUUUUUGCUCAAGAACACUGACACCACGUUAGGGUUUUCUGCCUCAUUCCAAACACUUUGUCAUAAACUAAUUUCAAACAAAACAAAAUGAAAAUGAAUAGGUAAUGAAUGGAAGCUAGCAUGCUCACUGCCAAUAUCUGCUGCUUCUUCCUCUUCCAGCAUUGCUGCAAACCCAUUUAUGUGUCUGUUGUAUGAGUAAAGAACUGCUUCUUUUGCUUUCUCCUCACUGUCAAACCAUUAAAUCACCUAUAUUAUAUAUUCUUCUCUCACAAAAAGAAAACAUUAAAUUAUUACAUUUGAUGUAUUCACCCUACUAUUAUCUGUUGAUUUCUUUAUAUAACAACAGUUUUUAUGACUGUUUGUUUGUGUACUAUGCAUUCUUUAGUCAAUUUCGAAUAAAAUACGUUUGAGUUAUUAUAUUUUAACAUUUAAAUUUUUCUGUUAUACUCAACUUACACCUUCAUAAAUUAUUAUUUUAUCAUAAUAUUUAAUUUAUAUUUAUUUUUAUUAUGUUAAUAUAAUAUUUUAUUAUAAAAACUCACUGUCAACCGGAUGUAGAAACAAAAUGCAGUGUCAAACAACACUUUUUAAACUAAUAUUCUAUGGAUAGAGAGACACCUAACAUGAUAAAAACGAAAUUAGUCAGAACGAAUAACUAGUGAAUAAACACCAUCUACUAAAUAUGAGACUUUAAUUGUAACAAUAUAUAAUUGGAUCUUUGAAAAUUGAAUGUAUAAUAGGACAACAAUUAAUGAAAACAAAAUUACACAGCAAACAACAAUUUGAUACCUUCCCAAGAUUGAAGCUAGUAAAUCAUAAUGAGAAUACGUAGCAAUUUGGAGGUCAACAGAAGUAGGGUUGGAACCAUGAGAGUGAGUUCCCAAGUAUACAAUGUAACACUGCAAACAAAAUCAAACAUUUCUGAAAUAUAACCAAUGAUCAAUGAUGGAAACUCAGCAAUAUCACAACCAAAUCAUCAUCAUAUCAUCAUUUUAUGCUACAAUUUUAGUGUAAGAUGAAUUAGCAAUAAGCAAAAGCAGUUUGCUUGCCUUUUUGCUGCCAUGAACAGCUUCAAGAAAGAAAGUGAAAAUAAGAAACGAGGAAACUAUAAUAAGACGGAGAAGAAAAACGGAGCUGCCCAUUCUUUUCAACAGAUCUUUUGGAAAUGCUUGUGAUGAAUAUCAGCUAGGAAAUGCAAAUUUAUAGGACAUCUUUGUUAUCAAAAAAGGGUAAGAAAGAAAAGAAAAGAAAGAAUAUAUAGGAAAUAUGAUUAUUCAAGUAGAAGAAAAAAAAAUGAAAAGUGGAUUGAUAAUAUAUUAUAUGUUUAAAAAUAAACUUGUAAAAUAAAAUUUUGAAAAUAAUUCAGUGUAAAAACAAUUUUUAAAAUAUAAAUAAUUUUUUUACAAAAAUAAGUUUAAAAAAUGUUUAAAUAAAAAUAAAUAUUGUUACAAAAUUUAACAAGUAAAAAUAUAGUUUAUUUAUUAUUUUUAUAAUUUAUAUUUUAAUUGUUUCUUUUAAAAAUAAAAAUUAUAAAAAAUAUAUUGAAUAUAUAAUGAUUAUAGUUUGUCCAUAAAGAAUCAAUUAUAUACUUUCCUACAAAUGUUGGAGAGAAAGUUGAUUCCAUCCUGCUUUAUGCCUUUCUUCUAUAAUUUUAGGGUUUAUAUUCAUUUCCAUCCGUAUAAGCAAACAGAAAACCGCCUUUUUUUUCUUUUUUGUCUUUGGGAAAUGUGUAUGUCAUAGCUUUUGCUUUUCACUAAUCUUUGUAUAACUUUUCUAUAUACAGUUAAAUUUAAGUUUAAAAUUUAUGAAAUAUUCCGUUAAAAUGUGUUAAUACAACAUACAUUGCUGUUAACUUUAAGACCACGUGUUUCAAAUAAGAUUAUGAAUUAUAAAAUAAAAUUUACUUUUCUCAUAAAAGUGUAAAAGAAAAAAUUGUCAAAGUGUAAGUCUUACAAAAAUUUAUAUUAAAAGAUUUAUAAGAAAUUCUAAGAAAAAUAAUGACAAUAUAAAGUCUAAAAAAAGUAAAAGAAAAGGGGUAUAACUUUUAAGAAGAUAACUUUGAUACUAACAUAUCGAUCUUUUAUUUUUAAUUAUAUAAUCUCUUUUAUAAGUAACCAUUAGAUGUAAAUCUAGUGGCUAAGAUCACCUUCCUUAAAAGAACUAGUCAUCAUUACACCAAGAAACACUUUAUAAUAGCUUAUAUGCCUAAAGUCGGAAAUUAAAUAUUUCAUUUUAAUAAUAAAAGUAAUAAACCUUUUGAACUGAAAAAUCUUCAUUUACAUAACACAUACAAUUUUUUUAAUUUAAUAUGUUAGAAGAAAAAUUCAUUUAUCUUAUUAUAAGAGAUACAUGUAUUACAAUCGUUUUCUUUCUUCUUUCUUGUAAAGGAAUGUCAGUAAAAUACAUUUUACUUCUUGGGUGAUGCUAAUGUGCAUUAUCAUUGCUCUCUUAUUUUAAAAUAUAUAAUUUAAACUAUUUAACAUAAAAUAGUUAAAAAAAAUCAUUAAGUGAAAUAUCUAUCUUCAAUGAAACGGAAGUGUUCGAGAUCCUUAUUAAUUAGGUUAUAUAUAUAUAUAUAUAUAUAUAUAUAUAUAUAUAUAUAUAUAUAUAUAUAUAUAUAUAUAUAUAUAUAUAUAAAAUAUUGAUUUAGAACUGGAUUAGUCUUCAUUGGGAUGAAACUCAAAUUCUAAGAUUAAUUCUUCAAGAGUGGUCUAGUUUGAGAAGAACGUUGGCAUGAUGCGAACUUGCCUGCAUUUCCAUUAUUAAUGUUCUUAUUAUACAUAAAACACACAAUACAUCAUAACAGAUAGAGAAAAAACCAAACACGUCCCAGAAAAAAAACAACGCAACCAUUACCAUAACACGAGAUGAGAUCCUAGCUGGAGUGAAACUUAUUAUCCACGCGUCCACGCAAUUACUAUGAUAAGAAAGGAUCUAAACUCAACGAACUACAUUGAAGAGUUUUUCAUCUGCGCUUUACUGUAAUAGGACUCCUUACUAUAUGCUUUCCAUCUGUCCAUCGCAAUUCUCCAAAUUGAUAAGUUCUCCGCUUAGUUACACUGCUUGCCUGCACAGUCACCUUGAACGUCUUCUUUUCACCAAUUUUAUUGAAGUUCAAGGAAUUUGGCACAACGGCAAUGUUAUAUCCAGGUAAUUGGGCCGUUGCAGUGUAUGUGCUUGGUGUUCCAACAUUUGUUAAAGUGCGAGUAAUGGUUACGGAUUUUAAGCCUAGAUUUGGCAAUGUGAUUGAAGGGUAGUUCAAAUCUGUUACACUGUGAGUGCCUGAACAAAUGAAAGUUCGGUUGAAGUUGAGAGCAGAAAUGAGCUGUUGGUCGUAUCCAGAAGCACAUAAGAAGUUCAAGUAAUCAGUGAGGCCUAGAUCGUAAACGAGGCCGGGAUCUAUGGCAAGGUCAGGUUGAACAUGUCCUGAACCAUAAGCAAAGGGAGUUGCCAGUGUUUUAGCAAACGCAUCCUGUAUUGGCCUGUUUGUGUUGUCUCGUGUGGUUGCUGCAAAGGUAUAUAUAUACUUAACCAUGUUAAAAUUUGGUAGAAAACCAAAACUUAAGAAAUUAUGAAAUUAGAGAUUGACACCUGUGGUCAUGAUUGCUGAUUUUAUAGCAGCAGGACUCCAACUAGGAUAACGUGUUUUGAGAAGUCCAGCGAUGCCAGCAACAUGAGGGCAAGACAUAGAAGUUCCUUGCAGUACAUUGAAUUUAAACCCACGACGAUUGUCUGUUAGCAAGGUUGAUGCACUUGCGAAUUCUGAGUAGGCAGCAAGUAUGUUCACACCAGGUGCAGUCACAUCGGGCUGAAACCAAAAUAAAACAAGGGUUUCAUAACAAACACGAACAAAUAUGAUAUACAGAGAGAGAGAGAGAGAGAGAGAGAGAGAUACAUAGUUGAUUAUAACAAAUGAAUCAAAUAUGUACUGAUUAACUAAUGUGGACGUGCUGCACCUUGAGUAUUGAUGGUUGAAUCUUAUUGGGUCCUCGAGAUGAGAAUGAAGCCAUAACUGGAGCUGGCUUUCUUCCAAAUAACGUCCUUGCUGUAGACAUUCUUAUGGUAGCACCUGAUUCUAUAGGGUCCCUGCAAAAAUGUACGUGUGCAUGAAUAAAAAAUGGAGCAAAUGUUUUGUAGGAUGUCAUUUGAAAACUGCUAAACAAUUUUGAAGUGCAUGAAGGAUAUAUAGUUACGUUGCAGUUAAGAAAAAAUCAGACUGUGCUCCUGCAUGGUCAUCAUUUGUGCCCACAGUUGAGAGAACAUGAGGCUCGCCAAAAGUUGUUUUUCCAUUUUGCUUUUGAUUGCCCAAAAUCAUUCCCUGUGCGCCUGAAGAAAGAGCUUCAUUACCCUCAGCAACUGAUUUUAUCUUUCCAUCUCGAAUACAACGCACUAUUUUGCCCUUUACUUUUGCAGGAUCAAGUGUUCCACGUCUACACAGUUG